AUGCCGACGCCCUUCACCAAGGACGAGAUGAUCUUCUCCUACGCGAUGCACCCGGACGGGCGCACCAUAUUCGUGUCCUCGUGGAGCAGGGCGGUCUGCGGCACGUACUCCGUCGACACCAGGAGCUGCAAGUGGAGGCGCCAUGGGGAGUGGAUGUUGCCUUUCAGAGGCCGAGGCUACUUCGACGUCGAGCUAGACGCAUGGGUCGGGUUGCACGAGGACGGCUAUGUCUGCUCCUGCCAGGCUGCCUCCCGCAGCGGCGGCACCACGCAGCAGCCGGAGUGGAAGAUGGCCGACGAGCGUAGUAUGUGGAUCCCGUGGCAUCAGCUGGAGUUUCGCCUGCGUCGGAUGUGA
rnacentral:rRNA from 1 species